ensembl:snRNA U6 U6 spliceosomal RNA
AGGCUCACUUCCACAGCACAUACACGAAAGUUGGAAUGAUACAGAAAAGAUUAGCGCAGCCCCUGUACAAGGAAGACAUGCAACUUUAUAUGUUCCAUAUUUUU